GACGAACCGUGCGAACGUUAUUCGGAAUCACUGGGCUUAAAGCGCGUGUAGGCGGGACGGCACGUCUGUCGCUGAAAUCCCCCGGCUUAACCGGGGAACUGGCGGAGAUACGACCGUCCUGGAGGGGCGUAGGGGGACCUGGAACUUCCGGUGGAGCGGUGAAAUGCGUUGAGAUCGGAAGGAACGCCCGUGGCGAAAGCGAGGUCCUCGACGCCUACUGACGCUGAGACGCGAAAGCGUGGGGAGCGAACAGG
rnacentral:rRNA from 1 species